rnacentral:rRNA from 1 species
GACGAACGCUGGCGGCGUGCUUAACACAUGCAAGUCGUACGGUAAGGCCCUUUCGGGGGUACACGAGUGGCGAACGGGUGAGUAACACGUGAGUAACCUGCCCACAACUUUGGGAUAACGCUAGGAAACUGGUGCUAAUACUGGAUAUGUUCUCCUGCUGCAUGGUGGGUGUUGGAAAGCUCCGGCGGUUGUGGAUGGACUCGCGGCCUAUCAGCUUGUUGGUGGGGUAGUGGCCUACCAAGGCGGCGACGGGUAGCCGGCCUGAGAGGGUGACCGGCCACAUUGGGACUGAGAUACGGCCCAGACUCCUACGGGAGGCAGCAGUGGGGAAUAUUGCACAAUGGGCGCAAGCCUGAUGCAGCAACGCCGCGUGCGGGAUGACGGCCUUCGGGUUGUAAACCGCUUUCAGCAGGGACGAAGCUUUUUGUGACGGUACCUGCAGAAGAAGCACCGGCUAACUACGUG